UACGGAGGGGGCUAGCGUUGUUCGGAAUUACUGGGCGUAAAGCGCACGUAGGCGGCUUUGCAAGUUAGAGGUGAAAGCCCAGGGCUUAACCCUGGAAUUGCCUUUAAAACUGCAUCGCUAGAAUUGUGGAGAGGUGAGUGGAAUUCCGAGUGUAGAGGUGAAAUUCGUAGAUAUUCGCAAGAACACCAGUGGCGAAGGCGGCUCACUGUCCCGGUACUGACGCUGAGGUGCGAAAGCGUGGGGAGCAAACAGG
rnacentral:rRNA from 1 species